UACGUAGGGGGCUAGCGUUGUCCGGAUUUAUUGGGCGUAAAGAGCGUGUAGGCGGCUUGGCAAGUCUGCUGUGAAAACUCGAGGCUCAACCUCGAGCUGUCGGUGGAAACUGCUUGGCUAGAGUCCGGAAGAGGAGAGUGGAAUUCCUGGUGUAGCGGUGAAAUGCGCAGAUAUCAGGAAGAACACCCGUGGCGAAGGCGGUUCUCUGGGACGGUACUGACGCUGAGACGCGAAAGCGUGGGGAGCAAACAGG
rnacentral:rRNA from 1 species